ACUCAUAUAGUUUAAUAAAAACAUUAUAUUUUCAAUAUAAAAUUAACUAAGUUUAUAAGUA
rnacentral:tRNA from 1 species